rnacentral:rRNA from 1 species
CUAGUGAUUUGAAAGGGAAACGAUUGAAGUCAGUCGUACCAACGGGAAAUCAAUUCAUCGAGUGUUGAAUUUGGGUCUUGAAGAGUCUUAAAACCUUUGGGUUCAGAUAUUUUCACUUUUUGAACGUAUUUUCUCGUACGGUAGGUUAACAUCGAUUUUGAACAUUAUAAAAUGAUCGAAGGAAUGUAGCUUCGAUCUUGUAUUGAAGUGUUAUAGCCUUUGGUAGAUGUAAUGAUCGAGAUCGAGGAUUGCAACGAAUACCCUUUUGGGCUAUCCGUCUGAUCUCUGAUACGUUGCCUCGGUAACGAAAGCGUGCUUACGGUAUUGAGGUAUUACGGUCAAAAGGUUAGAACGUGAUUACAUUCGUUAAGGAUGUUGACGUA